CUGUUUUUAUUUUUGUUAUGACCUCUGAUCAAAAGUUUAAUUUGAUCAAAAUUUCUUAAAAAUAGUGAAAACGACUCCCAACAACAUGGAAGAUGGCUAUAAAAGAUAAAAGGAAAGGAUUAAAAAGAAAAGAUGCGCCUGUUCCAAAAUAAAAAUAAAAUGGCGGCGUCAAGUUUAUAACAAAAAUCAAAACGGUGCAUUUGAAAGUGUAUAAAAUACAUUUAGAGCGGGAGUUGUGUUGUUUCUUGAAGGCAGAAUGUUUGUGAGAUAUUUGUCCACGAAGCCGAAACCAAAGAUGAAGCCCAUAGAGCUCAAAAGUCGACCGGAGCAAAUUCAGACAACCCUAGCUGCCUUAACCUUGUAGUGACUCGGUGAAGAUGAAGUGAAGCACCAGUAGAACAAUGGAGAUGGAAGCCCCUCAGCAUGAAAACUUUUCGACAGUGACACAGCUCUUAUUCCAGAAGCUGCACAGAAGAACGACCUGAAUCCUCUUCAAAACUUUCAAAUUUUUAUCAAGUAAAGCUUUCAAAAUUUCUCAACAAACUGAUUAUUUGGUGUGGUUGCCACAUUUUGUGCAACUGCUAUUCGUCUUCAAGUGCAAAUUCCUUGCCUUCUAAGUUAGGGAAGAUAGAUGUUAAGCAAAGUGGGAAACAGAACAAACAGGGCAAAAAUUAAAAUAACAGAACAGCAAUGAUGGCAAUUAACAAACUAAUAGCAAUAUUCCAUUUGAUUGUUUAGCCCAAUUGUUCCUUCUCUCAGCAUUCUUCAAAAGUUUUUGAAAAUUAGAUGUGAAGCAAACAAAAUAAAACAAAUUUAGACAACAGAUGCCCUGUAUUCAGCAUCAUAUAUAUACCUUGAAUACCUAAUAUAAUAAAUUUCACAUCUAAAAUACUAGAAAUUUCAAACAGUACCAGCAAUAGAAUAAUGACAACAACAAUAACAGAAAAUUACAAGAUUGCUGAUAAAAUUUCAUCUGCAUGGAUGUAUGACAAAAAUUCUGUGAUUUAAUGUGCGUUCAUGCAUGCAAGUCCUAACGUUCCUGUGAUCACAAAAUGAAACUGAAGAUAAAUCAGAACAACUACCAAACCUUUGACUGAAAAUUCAAAAAAAUUUAUAUUCAAAAUGUCAAAAUAAACUGGAAAUUUAUUACAUAUAUUACAAGAAGCAGUACACCAAUGGUAAAUUGAUACAUCGUUUUUUAACUUAAGAUAGUCAAAUGAAAGAAACACAAAGGAGGGUUAAUGUAACACUUUCAAGCAUUAGUGAUACAGUAAAGUGAAUGACCUCAGCAUGUAAACUUAACUUCAAAGCACGGAGCACACGUUUCACAGAAAAGUAGCUCUUAUUCCUGAUGCUGCAAACACACAGGAGUGACCUCAAUCUUCUUCAUAUUUAUUUUGAACAAUAAAUUUGUCAUCAAGUUUUAGCCUUCUUCUUCAACCAAUUACAGCACGAUCUUGAGCUCUGUGUUUCUUUUUUUAAAUCAUUCAAAAGAUCUCUGUCAUUAAUUUUUCAAUGAUAAAAAUUAUAUUUUUGUCUCACAAAAUAUAAAAUAUAAAAAAAUAAAACAUAUAUUAUAGGUCCGUUUGAGAUUAUUUUUAAAGGCCCAAAAGUCAUUUUGAAAAGUUAAAUGUUAAUUUUGGUAUAAGGUAAAAUUUUUAGAAAUCACCUUUGGUAAAAAUCACUUAUCCUACAAGAAAUUAUGGAAAGCAAAAAAAGAAUAGUUUGUCAAAAUCUAAUUUUGAUAACUAGUUUUAUACUUAAUACAAUUCUAUCUACAACCUUAUAUAUAUUAUAAAAAUAUAAAAUUAUCCUUAUUAUUUAGGAAAUAAAAUUAUUAAUUUUAAAGAUAUUUUAACAAUUACAUUGAGAUAACAAAAUAAAAAUAAAAUUAAUAAUAUAAAAUAUUUAUUUCUGUGAUCAAUUAUUAUAUGUACAAGAUUAAAAAAAAUUAUAUAUACAUGUUAAUAAAUGUAUAAAUAAAUUUUAUCUAACAUUAUGUUCAAUUCGGUCAUUUAUAUUAAUAGCACUUUAGAAGUAAAUUUUCCUAAAUAUUUAACUGAUUAUCUUCACAGUGAUUAUUUCCACAACAUAACAACCAAAAAUUAUUAUAAAAGAUACAACAUUACCAAAAAAUAUUGAGGUACAUUUUAAUUAGGUAAUUGACGUAAUUAUGAAUCAAUUUAUUAUUUCCAUAUGUGUUAUCUAAACCAGCUCAUUAAUGCGAUCACUCUUUUUCUUAAAUAAAAUAUUCUUACCAAACAAUUGUUGCAAAAUUUCAAAUAUAAAUUACAAACAACAAAAUUUUCUAAAGUCAUAACAAUUAUUUAUGUUCUGAAUACAUGUAACUAAACCACAUUGAAAGUUGUCAAAACAGGAGGACAUAUUGUUAGUAAAAUUAUUUCUCAAGCAAAUGCAGUGACGGAUUUGGUUUCAUGUUUCACCCUCAAUAACUUAAUUUUCAUAUCUAACAAAUCAUUCAUAUUAUUAACAAUAUCAUCACCAACCAUAAUCUACCUAAACAUACAUAUAACUAUAUACAUACCGAAUCAGGAAAACAAUGAAGGCUACACGUAUCCGGCUCUACAAUUCCUUGUUGGUACCCUUGUGCUUCUAAAAUAAUCGACCAAUUAUAAAAAUUAGCUUAGGUGCAACUUUACGCCUUUUUUUGGAAAACUUAACUAUAAAUAAAGUAUACAAAUCUCUAAAUUAACUUCUUUCCCAUGAAAUUCAGCAUAAAUAGAAAUAGAAUUAUAGAAACCUUACUACCUUUUAUGAGAAAUCCAACUUAUAUAUUUGAGACCUCUCUCUCUAAGCACGCGCUUCCUCUCUCUGCACACUUUCCACCUUUAAAUUCUCCUUCAUUAAGUUUACCUAAAAGAAUUUAGCGUUCUCCCAGUUUCUUUAGCAUUUUUCUCCGUGAAAAUUGGUGAAAAAGAGAAAGUGAUUUGAUUAUUUUAAUGUAUGACAGAUCUGGUUUCCAUCUCUGUAAUUUAAGUUUGUCAAAACGAGA
rnacentral:lncRNA from 1 species